CAAAACAUUUAUCAACAACUUCAUUAAUAAGUGACGUUUUAAUUUGACAGUAAGAUGAUUUAAAGGGGACAUAUCAUGAAGAAUCCUCUCCUACAGUGUUUAUGAACAUAUAUCUGUGUAACCUGAGAGUCUACUGACCCACAACAUGUGAAAUAAACCAUCCAGUCCUUUGUUUGUGGUCUGCAUAAGUCUUACAACACAGAGAAAAAUGCUCUGUUUCUAAUGUGCUCUCCUUGUGAUGUCACAGUGGGAUUCUGGUAAAAAAAUAAUAAUAAUCCCCCCCCAUUUAAAGAGACACACACACCAAAACGGAGCGUUCUGAGAGAGCUGGUUUAUACAGGGUCACAAACCUCCUCUGGUGCUUGAUUCAUGUUAUAUUUUGAACAAAGCACAGAUGUUUCAUUUAGACCACAGGGGGACUGUUUGAAAAGGUGGAGGAGGGGGCUGUUUGAAAAGGUGGAGGAGGGGGACUGUUUGAAAAGGUGGAGGAGGACUGUUUGAAAAGGUGGAGGAGGACUGUUUGAAAAGGUGGAGGAGGACUGUUUGAAAAGGUGGAGGAGGGGACUGUUUGAAAAGGUGGAGAAGGGGACUGUUUGAAAAGGUGGAGGAGGAGGACUGUUUGAAAAGGUGGAGGAG